rnacentral:rRNA from 1 species
UACGUAGGGGGCGAGCGUUGUCCGAAUUUACUGGGCGUAAAGAGCGCGUAGGCGGACUGUUAAGUGAGAGGUGAAAGGUUCAGGGCUCAACCCGAACAGUGCCUUUCAUACUGGCGGUCUUGAGUAUGGGAGAGGCGAGUGGAAUUUCUGGUGUAGCGGUGAAAUGCGUAGAUAUCAGAAGGAACACCCAUGGCGAAGGCAGCUCGCUGGCCUAUAACUGACGCUGAGGCGCGAAAGCGUGGGGAGCAAACAGG